rnacentral:rRNA from 1 species
GAGCGGCGGACGGGUGAGUAACGCGUGGGUAACCUGCCUCAUACAGGGGGAUAACAGUUGGAAACGGCUGCUAAUACCGCAUAAGCGCACAGUACCGCAUGGUACGGUGUGAAAAACUCCGGUGGUAUGAGAUGGACCCGCGUCUGAUUAGGUAGUUGGUGGGGUAACGGCCUACCAAGCCGACGAUCAGUAGCCGACCUGAGAGGGUGACCGGCCACAUUGGGACUGAGACACGGCCCAAACUCCUACGGGAGGCAGCAGUGGGGAAUAUUGCACAAUGGGGGAAGCCCUGAUGCAGCGACGCCGCGUGGAGGAAGAAGGUCUUCGGAUUGUAAACUCCUGUUGUUGAGGAAGAUAAUGACGGUACUCAACAAGGAAGUGACGGCUAACUACGUGCCAGCAGCCGCGGUAAAACGUAGGUCACAAGCGUUGUCCGGAAUUACUGGGUGUAAAGGGAGCGCAGGCGGGAAGACAAGUUGGAAGUGAAAUCCAUGGGCUCAACCCAUGAACUGCUUUCAAAACUGUUUUUCUUGAGUAGUGCAGAGGUAGGCGGAAUUCCCGGUGUAGCGGUGGAAUGCGUAGAUAUCGGGAGGAACACCAGUGGCGAAGGCGGCCUACUGGGCACCAACUGACGCUGAGGCUCGAAAGUGUGGGUAGCAAACAGGAUUAGAUACCCUGGUAGUCCACACCGUAAACGAUGAUUACUAGGUGUUGGAGGAUUGACCCCUUCAGUGCCGCAGUUAACACAAUAAGUAAUCCACCUGGGGAGUACGACCGCAAGGUUGAAACUCAAAGGAAUUGACGGGGGCCCGCACAAGCAGUGGAGUAUGUGGUUUAAUUCGACGCAACGCGAAGAACCUUACCAAGUCUUGACAUCCUGCGACGGUGCUGGAAACAGUAUUUUCCUUCGGGACGCAGAGACAGGUGGUGCAUGGUUGUCGUCAGCUCGUGUCGUGAGAUGUUGGGUUAAGUCCCGCAACGAGCGCAACCCUUAUGGUCAGUUACUACGCAAGAGGACUCUGGCCAGACUGCCGUUGACAAAACGGAGGAAGGUGGGGAUGACGUCAAAUCAUCAUGCCCUUUAUGACUUGGGCUACACACGUACUACAAUGGCGUUAAACAAAGAGAAGCAAGACCGCGAGGUGGAGCAAAACUCAGAAACAACGUCCCAGUUCGGACUGCAGGCUGCAACUCGCCUGCACGAAGUCGGAAUUGCUAGUAAUCGCAGAUCAGCAUGCUGCGGUGAAUACGUUCCCGGGUCUUGCACUCACCGCCCGUCA